UAACCUGCCCAAGAGAUCGGGAUAACACCUGGAAACAGAUGCUAAUACCGGAUAACAACAGAUGAUGCCUAUCAACUGUUUAAAAGAUGGUUCUGCUAUCACUCUUGGAUGGACCUGCGGUGCAUUAGCUAGUUGGUAGGGUAACGGCCUACCAAGGCGAUGAUGCAUAGCCGAGUUGAGAUACUGAUCGGCCACAUUGGGACUGAGANACGGCCCAAACUCCUACGGGAGGCAGCAUAC
rnacentral:rRNA from 1 species